UGCAGCAGGACACGCCCACGGUGGCCUCGGGCAGCUCGUCGUCCUCCGUCCACUCGUUGAGCUCGGCGCUGAAGCACUGGAUGCACUUCUUGUACUUCUUCUCGCCCUCGUUCCAGCCCCCCACCAGAGAUGGGGUCUUGCUAUGUUGCCCAGGCUGAUCUCAAAGUGUUGACCUCAAGCAAUCCUCCCACCUCAGCCUCUCAAAGUGCUGGUAUUACAGCCAUCUCUACUCAAGGGGUCCCCACGCUUGGUAGCGAGGGUCAUCACCAUGGUGACUGUACCCUAGGAAGGGCUCUGCCUCAGGCUAUGGUCUGCCUGGGAAACCAUGUACCCUUACUGAGCUGCCUGUGGCUGGGAGAGUUUCAACAACUUUUUCCUGAACCACAACAGGCUUGAUUCUCCCUCACUACCCAGAAGAGACCUAACAAGCUACACCUUGUGAUCAAAGAGAAGAAGAACUUUACAGCUCCGGAGGGACCAGGCACCAGUGGUGGCCUGCACUUUCCACAUGGUCCCUGUCAAUGCAGGAAACUCUGGGAACAGCAGCAGGUGGUGCAGCCACAGCAGCUGAGGUCCUGCAAUGGGACAGCAGCGGCACUGGCAGUCCCUUCUCUUUUGGAAUCAAAGAAGAGGCCUUCCACAGGGUGCAGCGGGCGGCAGGGACGUCCCUAUGCCACAGGAGCUAUCCCUGAGUUCUGCAGGAACCCAGAGAACUCCCCUCUCCUGUUCUGGACUCCACAGCCUCUUCCCUCCUUGCUUAAUCCACUAUCACCCAGAACAGCCUCUUGGAUCCCCUGGAAGAGCAGCCCUUAGAAACUGGGCGGAAGGGUAACAGAGACGCGAUUUCACACUCCCUUCCCCACUGCCUACUGCAGCCCCUGGCUCUUGGGCCACUUCAGUAAUGGUCGUGUCACGUAUUCAACACCUGAUAAACAGCUGGGCAGAAUUAGGAAAGUCAUUCUGUUUUUCAUCAUCUUUUGUAUUUGCCAAAUUUAAGUAUAGUAAUAAUUUCUAAAUAUAAACCACCAGGCAUGAACCUAUGUGACACAUUAAAUGUAAAACAAUACCUCCAUUUCUACCUAUAUAUAGCUAGCAGUUUUGAAUUGAGAACCUACUGUGUGCUGAGCCCUGGGUUAAGUGCAUAAUUUUAUUUUUUUAGUGUAAGUAUCACAGAAAUCCUAAAAGGUAGGUUAUAUCGUGUUAAUUUUACAAAGGAAGAAAUUAAGAUUCCGAAUGAGUAAAAAGAAAAACUUGUCCAGGGUCAUACUAGUAAGUACGUAGUGUGUACUGGAGCAAAGAUUCAAAGCCAGGUGAAACUCUGGCCCCUAUUUUGCCUCCUUGAAGUCCAGGGUAGGAGAAAACCUGUACAAGGUUAAAAGUUAGUGCUUUACAAAGUGAGAGGAGAGAGAUCAAGUGAAGCAGCACUCCGGUUUAUAGAAUCAGAAUUGGAUAUGGAGAACAUGAAAUGGUUCUUUCUAGCUCCUAAUACUGAAAUUAAAGAGUUGCCUUUUUGAAUGUAAAAUGAAUUUGUUUGGAGACACAUAUAUCCUGUAGAUUUCUAUCCUAUUAAAGGUAGAAAGAAUGUGAAACUCCAGUAGGUUAGGUAAGCCAAAUAAACAGGUUCAAGGAGGGCCUGUGGGCAUUUGUUGAUCAGAUAGUCAAGUGCUUCCUUUUAAGUGUUACGUUUUGGUUUUUGAGAAAACAAUUAAAUAUUGUCAAUUUCAUAUGGUUCAUGCCUGGCUUUUAUCUAUAAAGCAUACAUACUCUAUACACAAAGUUAACUAUGGUUCUAUUCUCUGAGCCAGGAUACAGAACCUGACGAGCUAGUACAAUUUUUAGUUUGGGGCUUGUUGCCCCACAGUGGUUAUAGCGCCAGCCAUAAACACCGAGGAUGGUGGGUUUGAACCUGGUCCAGGCCAGCUAAACAACAAUGACAACUGCAACAAAACAUAGCUGGGUGUUGUGGUGGACGCCUGUAGUCCCAGCAACUUGAGAGACUAAGGCAAGAGAAUUGCUUAAGCUCGAGGUUGCUGUGAGCUGUGAUG